ACAGAUAAAUUUUCUUCAGACCCCUCCAGUGGUCGACCUUCCACAGUGUCCUCCAGACUCCUCCAGCGGAUGAACUUCCAUAAUGCCUUUCGGACUCUUCUAUCGGUCAACCUUCUAUAGCGCCUUCCGAAUUUUGCUAUCGAUCGACCUUCUAUCAGAUUCCUCAUGCAACCGGAUCUCUCCAGCGGACAGUCUUCAGACAAGCUUCUACAUCAGAUAAAUUCCAGACGGACUUCUCUAGCAAUCAGACUCCAGCC
rnacentral:lncRNA from 1 species